AGAGGCCCCGAGCGUUAUUCGGAAUCACUGGGCUUAAAGCGUCCGCAGCCGGUUUCCAGGCUUCUCGUGAAAUCCCACGGCUCAACCGUGGAACUGCGGGGCGAACCGCGCACCUUGAGGUAGGUAGGGGUCAUCGGAACGUACGGUGGAGCGGUGAAAUGCAUAGAUAUCGUACGGAACGCCGAAGGUGUAGACAGGUGACUGGGCCUAUUCUGACGCUCAUGGACGAAAGCGUGGGGAUCAAACAGGAUUAGAUACCCUGGUAGUCCACGCCGUAAACGAUGCGCACUAAGUCGGUGUCCCUUCGACGGGUUGCCGGCCGGAGAGAAAUUAUUAAGUGCGCCGCCUGGGGAGUACGGUCGCAAGGCUAAAACUCAAAGGAAUUGACGGGGACUCACACAAGCGGUGGAGCAUGUUGCUUAAUUCGAAGCAACGCGAAGAACCUUACCUGGGCUUGACAUGCACGGAUUAGCUCUUGGAAACAUGAGUGACGCCCUCGGGUGGAACGUGCACAGGUGCUGCAUGGCUGUCGUCAGCUCGUGCUGUGAAGUGUUGGGUUAAGUCCUUUAACGAGCGCAACCCUUGUCGCUAGUUGCCAGCGAGUAAUGUCGGGGACUCUAGCGAGACUGCCGGUGUCAAACCGGAGGAAGGUGGGGAUGACGUCAAGUCCUCAUGGCCCUUACGCCCAGGGAUGCAAACGUGCUACAAUGGCAGAUACAGAGCGACGCAAGACCGCGAGGUGGAGCAAAUCGCAAAAAGUCUGCCCCAGUUCGGAUUGCAGUCUGCAACUCGACUGCAUGAAGUUGGAAUCGCUAGUAAUCGGAGAUCAGCUACGCUCCGGUGAAUACGUUCCUGAGCCUGUACACACCGCCCGUCAAGUCA
rnacentral:rRNA from 1 species